rnacentral:misc_RNA from 1 species
GUCAAGUACAAGGGCUCCGUGGUCAACAAGCAGGGAGACUGGGUGGGCGUGGCCCUGGACAGAGCAGUUGGUGAGAACGAUGGGAUGGUCCUCGGGAGGAGGUACUUCCAGUGUCCCCUGUAUCACGGCGUGUUUGUCAGGGCCAACAACGUCCGGUUCAUCCCCUUAAUUAGAUGUUUAUACAAUAAGUAUCGUAAGGUAUCGGACAGAUCUUAUGUAGAGGAACCACUGUUCAGCACAAGUGUGGCCACUCCCGACCCCUCGGUAGUGACCAGUCAGUACCAGGAUCAGGCCAGGGGAGGGUUCGCCUUUGACGAUUCCCUGUUCAGCGCCAAACGUUUCCCCCUGCGGCACUCUGUCGGCAACCACAUCCCGGCCGCCACCAUGCGGCGCGCCAAGACAGCAAUGGCGUCCUUCCGGUAUUUGACGAGCCCGAUCCACAGCGAGUACGACGUGGAGGAGGAGUUUAUCUCGUCCCCCGCCGUCCCCAAGACCCACAUGCCUUACUCAGCCCUCCGACGACAGGUUCGGCGGGGGUGGGAGGGCACACAUUACGUCAGAGAGAUGAGCGUCGGAACCGGAAGAGACUCCAUUAAAUUCUCCACGUGGAACGAUAUAUCGCCCUGAUUCCCCGACGGUUCCCAAUUUUACAAAGUGAUGUAGAAGUUAAUGACUUUUUUUUUUUAAUUCUUUAAAUAUUUAUUUAAUUUUUUUUAAACUGGUGUCUUGCACUCAGUUUUUAUGGCUAGAUUAGUGUUAGUAAUUUUAUUUACAUAGUUUAAUCAUGCAUCGAAACCGACGAGAUUUUCCCAGUAAAUGUAUAUGAAAUGUUACUUGGUCUAGUCGAAAAAGUAUAUUGCGCAACUGUGAUAUAUUCAAAAUAUACGUGUAUUAAAUGGUUGGUGUAAACCAUGUUUUAUUAUUUAAAUUGUACGACCUUUUUCAUACACAAUCAUGGAAAGUAUUUCAUGACGAAAGCUUAUAUUCAUACAUUCAGGUCGGAGUAAAUCAGUACAUAUAUUUUCUUGACAUCGCGUGACAUUGAACAAUAUAUACGUAAUCACAAUCAAAUGUUUUAAAAUACUGCUCUAUAUUUCAGUCCACUUUUGAACGGAUUAGAAAUAAUGAUGACCCCAAUUUGAUUUUGUAUCUGUUGUAACUCACUGCUGACAUCGAUACAUUGUUUCAUUUAUAGCCAUAUUUCAGCUCACGAUAUAUAUAAACUUACAUUGUAUAAUAAACAGACACGGUUACAGUAUGUAAGUAUACAUGUAUAUCUAUAUACGAGUCAGUGAAGAUACUACACGUGCUUUAUGUUAAGAAUGCAUGUUUAGCAUACUAGUAUAUAGAUGACAGAUGUACAAUUUGAAGACAUAUAUAAAUCCAUUGUGAUAAGAAUAAGAUUCUUCACUUAAUAUGUAGACAAAGCUGGAAAUAUGCAGUUUUUUUUAUUAUGCAUACGUAAAGCAGAUUUUUUUUUAUUUUCCACUGAGCAAAAUAAAGAAAACA